ACCUGGCUGGCUCAGUUGGUAGAGCGUAUGACUCUUGAUCUCAGGUUGUGAGUUCAAGCCCCAUGUUGAGUG
rnacentral:tRNA from 1 species